AUGGUGGACCAUAGAUGCACCAAGCAUUUCCCAAAAAGAUACAAUGUCAGCACUACCAUUGACGAGGACGGAUUUCCAGUAUAUAAAAGGAGGGAUGACGGAAGGCAGGUCAAAAAGGGAGGGGUGAUGCUCGACAACAGAUUUGUUGUGCCGUACAACCGGAACCUUCUGGUCAAGUAUCAAGCUCGCAUAAAUGUCGAGUGGUGCAAUAGGUCCAGAUCAAUCAAGUACCUAUUUAAGUAUAUCCAUAAAGAUGACGACCAUGUUACAGCCUUGCUCAAGGAAAGGGGCACGGCAAACGAAACUGACGAGAUCAAGAAAUACCUAGAGAUGAGAUACAUAUCAACAUCAGAAGCAUGCUGGAGGAUAUUUCAGUUUGAUCUUCAGUAUCGCAAUCCAGCAGUUAAGAGGCUACCUUUCCAUCUUGAAAAUGAGCAACAAGUCAUUUUUCCAGACUCCACUGAUCUUGAAAAGAUAGUAACAAGGGACGGAUCUAAAAUGACCAAGUUCACUUAG
rnacentral:rRNA from 1 species